rnacentral:rRNA from 1 species
GAUGAACGCUAGCUACAGGCUUAACACAUGCAAGUCGAGGGGCAGCAUUAGGUAGCAAUACUGUGAUGGCGACCGGCGCACGGGUGCGUAACGCGUAUCCAACCUUCCCGUUACUCAUGGAUAGCCUUCCGAAAGGGAGAUUAAUACAUGAUGGUGUUGAAAUUCCGCAUGUUAUUUCAACUAAAGAUUUAUCGGUAACGGAUGGGGAUGCGUGACAUUAGAUAGAUGGCGGGGUAACGGCCCACCAUGUCUACGAUGUCUAGGGGUUCUGAGAGGAAGGUCCCCCACACUGGAACUGAGACACGGUCCAGACUCCUACGGGAGGCAGCAGUGAGGAAUAUUGGUCAAUGGCCGGAAGGCUGAACCAGCCAAGUAGCGUGAAGGAUGAAGGUUCUAUGGAUUGUAAACUUCUUUUAUACGGGAAUAAACCUCCCACGUGUGGGAGCUUGUAUGUACCGUAUGAAUAAGCAUCGGCUAACUCCGUGCCAGCCGCCGCGGUAAUAC